ACCGCUAGCUGUUGAUACGCUCCUAAUUAGCGCAGACUUCGAGUGCUGGCAACUUUUGACAACUUGGCCUCAAAUCAGGUAGGACUACCCACUGAACUUAAGCAUAUCAAUAAGUGGAGGAAAAGAAACUAACAAGGAUUCCCCUAGUAACGGCGAGUGAAGCGGGAAGAGCUCAAAUUUAAAAUCUGGCAGGCUACGCUUGUCCGAAUUGUAAUCUCGAGAAGUGUUUUCCGCGUUGGCCUGUGUACAAGUCCCUUGGAACAGGGCGUCAUAGAGGGUGAGAAUCCCGUCCUUGACACAGACACCCAAUGCUUUGUGAUACACUCUCAAUGAGUCGAGUUGUUUGGGAAUGCAGCUCAAAAUGGGUGGUAAAUUCCAUCUAAAGCUAAAUACUGGCGAGAGACCGAUAGCGAACAAGUACCGUGAGGGAAAGAUGAAAAGCACUUUGGAAAGAGAGUCAAACAGUACGUGAAAUUGUUGAAAGGGAAACGAUUGAAGUCAGUCGUGCCUGCCUAGAUUCAGCCUUCUGGUGUAUUUCUAGGUCGGCAGGUCAGCAUCAGUUUGGGGGGGUUAACAAGGGAGCUGGGAAUGUGGCAACCUCGGUUGUGUUAUAGCCCAGUUUCGCAUUGAUCUCGCUGGACUGAGGAACGCAGUGCGCCCGCAAGGGUUGGUCUUCGGA
rnacentral:rRNA from 1 species